rnacentral:rRNA from 1 species
AACGAACGCUGGCGGCAUGCCUAACACAUGCAAGUCGAACGAGACCUUCGGGUCUAGGGGCGCACGGGUGCGUAACGCGAGGGAACCUGCCCUUAGGGUCGGAAUAACUCCCCGACAGGGGUGCUAAUACCGGAUAAUGUCUUCGGACCAAAGAUUUAUCGCCCUUGGAUGGGCCCGCGUUGGAUUCGGUAGUUGGUAGGGUAAAAGCCUCCCAAGGCGACGAUCCAUAGCUGGUCAGAGAGGAUGAUCAGCCACACUGGGACUGAGACGCGGCCCAGAAUCCUACGGGAGGCAGCAGUGGGGAAUAUUGGACCAUGGGCGAAAGCAUGAUCCAGCAAUGCCGCGUGAGUGAUGAAGGCCUUAGGGUUGUAAAGCUCUUUUAACCGGGAUGAUAAUGACAGUACCGGGAGAAUAAGCCCCGGCUAACUCCGUA